rnacentral:rRNA from 1 species
AUUGAACGCUGGCGGCAGGCCUAACACAUGCAAGUCGAGCGGAUGAGUGGAGCUUGCUCCAUGAUUCAGCGGCGGACGGGUGAGUAAUGCCUAGGAAUCUGCCUGGUAGUGGGGGACAACGUUUCGAAAGGAACGCUAAUACCGCAUACGUCCUACGGGAGAAAGUGGGGGAUCUUCGGACCGCACGCUAGCAGAUGAGCCUAGGUCGGAUUAGCUAGUUGGUGAGGUAAAGGCACACCAAGGCGACGAUACGUAACUGGUCUGAGAGGAUGAUCAGUCACACUGGAACUGAGACACGGUCCAGACUCCUACGGGAGGCAGCAGUGGGGAAUAUUGGACAAUGGGCGAAAGCCUGAUCCAGCCAUGCCGCGUGUGUGAAGAAGGUCUUCGGAUUGUAAAGCACUUUAAGUUGGGAGGAAGGGCAGUAAGUUAAUACCUUGCUGUUUUGACGUUACCAACAGAAUAAGCACCGGCUAACUUCGUGCCAGCCGCCGCCGUAAAAC